UUAAAAGUUAAGUGGAAGUGAGCUUGAAGAUGAGGCCUCUACAUAAACUGGAACAAGGCAUCUGGGGCCCCGCACAAACCUCCACCUUUUUUGGCCUCGAAGGCGGCAACCCCAGCCUCCCUCCCCACGUCCUCCGCCUCUGGGACCGCGCAGGGAAGCUCACGUUAGUGGCAGCCAAGGAGAGGGGCCGGCCUUGCCAGGACCAAAGAGGGAGGGGAAGGGAAAAGCAAGAAUCGCCCACCCCGCUCCCGGGAGGAGGGGCGGGCGUCCGAGCGAGCGAGCCGAGUCUCGGGCUCUGUGCAUCUCCCGGGAGCCGCGCGGGAAGGAUGCUGGGCCGCAGGGGCGCGCGCGCGGGGCGCGGGAUGCCGGGGGGCUGGACCGCGCUCUGCCUGCUGAGUCUGCUGCCCUCUGCAUUCACAGAUACAGAUAACUUGACUGCUGUUGCCACAGAGCCAUCUACUACAGAAAUGUUUUCAACAGUUCCUACAAAUGCAUCCCACCAGGAACCUCAUAACACAAAGGACUCAUGAAAGUACCACUCUCUACCCUGUCUCUCAGAACAGCAGUGGGACCACAGCAGCCAUCUCAGAGUCUACAGUCAACUUUACUUCUACCUCUGGGAUCACGCCAGUUCCUGGAACCAUGAACUCUUCUGCCCAGACACAGACCUCUUUAGCCACCAUAGUGUCUUCCACCCUAAUCAACUUUUCAACUUCAGAGAUGACCUUGGAGCCCAGCAUGUCACCUGGAAAUAUUUCAGACCCAACAUUCAAUAGCACCACUCCUGUGGCAUUUACCAUUGAACUCAAUACCUCCUUUUCUUCUACUCCAAGUACCAUCAAGGGAGAAAUCAGAUGUUUCGGAGUCAAAGAAGUGAAAUUGACCCUAGCUAUCUGCCUGCAGCUAAAUGAGACCUCCACCUGUGUAAGUCAAAUCCCCACCCCUAUGCCU